rnacentral:misc_RNA from 1 species
GGAAGGAUCAUUAUCAUAUCAAAAGUGAAUCUCUUCACAAAGAUUCUCUCCUUGAUUCCUUAUUAACACACACCCCCGUCCAAGCUUCCAAUGACGUUUAUAAACUUAUGGAAAGCCUCUUCUUCGAGCAAUUGGAGGAGUGGUACAUCUGCCGUUUUUGUUAACGGGGGAAGCGUACAGUCGCAAGACAUUAGAUUUUUUGUAAGAUUAUUCAAAACAAAACAAAUGAUUCGUCUUAGCGGUGGAUCACUCGGUUCCUACAACGAUGAAGAACGCAGCAAAGCGCGAUAGGAAUUGCGAAUUGCAGAGUUCAGUGAGUCAUCGUAUCUUUGAACGCAUCUUGCGCCUUCAGGCCUCGGCUUGUAGGCAUGCUUUUUUGAGUAUCAAGUCUAACAACCAAUAACAUUCACAUUUUAUGUGUGAUUUUGUUUUCAUUGGAAUCCGUUGUUCUAUCAUUUCUUUUGAGAGAUAGUGCAAUUAGAGAAACAGCAAGUUCUGGUGCUUAGUAUUCAAUCAUGUUGUGAGAGCAAUGUAUAACGGUUGGAGAACUCAUCGGGUUUCUAUCAUAAAACUCGUCUUUUAACAUUUGAAAAGACAAUUUCUUAGACAAAUCGAUCUCAAAUAAAGUAAGAAGACCCGCUGAAUUUAAGCAUAUAAUUAAGCGGAGGAAAAGAAAUCAACAGAGAUUCCCUUAGUAACGGCGAGUGAAGAGGGAAAAGCCCAUCCUGAAUUUCUUUCUAGAUAUACUAGAGAGAAAGAUGUGGGGUGCGGAGACGUCUUCAGUAAUGAUCUUGAUCAAAGUCUUUCUGGGAAGAAGUGACAAAGCGGGUGAAAUCCCCGUUCAUGAUUGAGGAUUCUUUACGUACGAAGCGUUUUCCAAGAGUAGGUUUGUUUGGAAUUGCAAGCUGAAUAAGGGAGAUAAUCUUCUUCCAAGGCUAAAUACUGGUAGGAAACCGAUAGCAAACAAGUACCGUGAGGGAAAGUUGAAAAGGACUCUGAAGAGAGAGUCAACAAGAACGUGAAACCGCUAAGGCUGAAGGGAUGAACACCAGUGCAAUGCCUUGAGUCAUUGGACUUGUGAAUGUGCGUAACAGAUCGUGACUGUGGUGUUUCUGGGUUCUUGAGAAUUCAGAUCGCGCGUUUUGAUUUGUAAAGUGCGAUCCUUGUCUUGUGAUUCGUAGGCGCUUGUCAGGUUCGAUCCUUGUGCCGUAAUGUCUAUUUAGUCAAGGUAGGAACCCUUUUUAAGAGUUCUGCUUAUAGGGCUAUUGUUGGGCAUAUCUGCUGGCAUAAGAAUUGAGGUAUACUACAGUACGCGAGUGGAUUUAGGCCCACUUGUUCAAAGAGAUUUUUCUCUUUCUUCGUACUUGAGACACCUGAUUAAAUGGUGGUCAUUCUCCCGUCUGGAAACACGGACCGGGGAGUUUUACUUGCAUGCGAGUCUAAGAGUGUAGAAACUUGAAGGCGAAAUGAAAGUGAAGAGUACUCUUGUGGUACUUGAAGUGGUAAGCUCUAUUUUUUAGAGUGUCCCCACUGCCCGGCCUCUUAUUUAUGGAGAGGUACGAGGUUGAGCAUGUAGGCAGAGACCCGAAAGAUGGUGAACUAUACUUGAGCAGAAUGAAGCCAGGGGAAACCCUGGUGGAAGUUCGUCGCGGUACUGACGUGCAAAUCGUUCGUCCGACUUGAGUAUAGGGGCGAAAGACUAAUCGAACCAUCUAGUAGCUGGUUCCCUC